rnacentral:lncRNA from 1 species
UAUGACACUAAGUACGGAACUCUGACAAUACAUAUAAUAUGCAAUUGGCUUGUGUAACUUAAUUACAGUGUUUUAUUGACUCUAAUUGAUACCAAAAAGAUAUUAUGUACCAUAACUCGGGAAUCCUUAUUGCAGCCUGUCUCCACGAUUUGUCAUGUUGUCAUUCUUGGCUGUAGAACAAAUUACUAGAACUAGGAGCAUUUUGGUAGAUUCAAAUUAUGCCAUAACCACCAAGCUAAAACAGUACCGUCAAAGUUCCUAAUCUAUUGGUUCCAAAAGUACGACAGAAAGAUAAAUAUUAAAUCAGUACUUAACCUGCAGAAAGUUUAAAUUAGGUUCAUCUCAAGAACUAACCUUGCUUAAAAGGCAGCUGUCACAAGCCUUGCAUUUGAAUGCUGUGCAUUUUGUGUCAAGUAGGUACGACAUGCCCUUGCCUUCUCAUUUGCUCAUUCUCCAGCACCCACUUUCCAAUCCAUUUCUCAUAUACCUUAAGCUUUUCCACAGCCAACUUUGGUCAUGAAUGCAACCUGCAUCCACAAAAAUAAUCUCCCCUUAUUGACAAUACAUGUCCUUGCAUGCUUUGAUAUCUACCUCAUUUCCUAUGGUAGAACAAUUUAUCUAUUGCUAGUCAAAGUAUAAAGAAGCAAAAUCUCAUUGAUGAAUUGAAGGGACAAGAGUCUGCUAGCUUGCAGAAGGAAAAAGCAUAAAACUUAGGAGUCAUACAAAUACGCACACGUGCACAUAUUUACAAGGCCAGGAGGGGAAGAAUUAAAUAUUACUCAAAGCAGCAAGACUUUGAAAUUAUUUCAUGAAAGUAAAACUCAGUGUCAUGUAACAAAAAGUAUGCCACAACCAACGAAGGAGCAUGAGCCUAUAACCAACAACUAUUAUCUUCAUCAUAGUCAUCAUAGAAACAACCAUCACAUUACCAUAUGUAGGACAGAAGCAAAAUCAGAAGCGCAACACUGCAAGAUCUAACUUGAUUGAGAAUGCAAUACAAUUAUGUAUUAUUGUGUUCUGUUAAUAAUGGUUCGAAUUUGAGAAUUCUCUUAUACUGUACAACAAGAAAUUCUAUUAUCAAAGAGCUACUAGAGCAGUGACACGUUUAACACACUUGUGCACAUCAUAUUAUACUUCCAUAUUAUUUGCUCAUGUCUGAUGAUGCUUUACUCCCCAUAAAAUCACCCAAAUGAAAGUAAUCAGGGACAAGGUGGGAGAGUGAACUGAUCAGCAUUUGUGCUGGUCCAGCUUAUCCCAAGAUUUCCUGUUAAAAGGAGUACUGACAAAUAUAUUUAAAUAAUCAACCCUGAACUUGACCUGUAAUUUGUACUAACCAGCAACAAAUUUAAUCACGCUACAUGAUCCAUCCCUAAAAAAAAACAAAUAUACAUAAAUUGCUGCUACUUGCUGAGAAAGCUUUACGAUAGCAAUGUAAUUCAGCAAUUUAGACUUUUAAAAAGUGAAACAGAAGUAUUUCAAAUGACUUGUCAUUUCACAAAGUAUUAUAUACACAACCAUCCUCAUACUAUGAAGAUGAAUAGAAUGAUGGAAGAAAAUGCUCCAACUUAUAAAGCACUGAAUAUAUCAACAGACUGAAACUAAUAGCCAAGUGGAGUUCAGCAGGCAUGCAUCACACUGACAAUUCACAGGAAAGAAAUAAGGGAAUGUAACUCAACAUUCCUCAUAAAAAAACUAAUAAAACAUAGUUUUAGAAUCCCAAAGCUUCAUCAACAAUUUUGCAUAAUGGAUGAUACAGCUUGUGUAAUCCAUGUCAAUGAAAAGAACAUCUAAGAUCAAAAUUUAAAAAAGUGACACCCAAUCAGCAAGCCAACAUAUGACUCAUGGUCACAGGCCCAAACUCUAUGAUGUAACUUGUCAUAAGGAUCAGUUAUGAAAUGCAACUGGAAAAAAAAACUUCUAAUUUAAGUGACCAUUUUUAAGUAAAGAUAAUAAAACCGAGCGAGAUUCUCAUAUAGUUAUUCAGCAUUCAGCAUGAACAUAUAUAAGCUACAAGUUAAUCAGAAUAACAGCAAAAAAAGUUGGCUAUUGCCUCUCUCCCACCACCCCCCCCACCCCCCCCACAAAAAUAUAUGUAUAUAUGUAUAGUGGCUCUGCGUGCGUAUCUAUCCUAAAGACACGUUUAAUUUUACAUAUAGCAAUCCAAAUUAAAUCAUACGCUUCAUGCAUAGGUCAGCCAAUGUUUUUGGAAUGAAAAUUUCUUGUUGUCUUCCAAUAGAGUAAUCAGUAUAUUUUUGAGGUCUGAUGUUCUCUAACCAUUGAAGAUCCUCUAGACAUGUUUCCUUGAAAGCCAGAAUCUUCUACUUAGGGUAAUGCAAUUGCUUUGAAUUUUUUUCCAGAAUCUUGAACCUACAACCACUUCCUAGGCACUUUCUUACUAAAAGUGUUUCUAAAAUAUCCACUUCCCUGCACUCACACCCAUAUCUGGUCCCACAACCGCUCCUAAUUCUGACAAUUAAGUAUGUUCAUCAGGUUUAGCCAUUCACUAAUAUCGGCAUCACUAGACCAUUUUGCAGUGUAAUAUUUUCUAAAUUAUAAUCAUUGUCUUUUGAAAAGUGUUCACGAUACAGCAACACACCAGCCCAAGUCUAAAACUUCCAUGUCCGUACGUCUAGAAACAACUACAAAAUUUAACUACAUUCCCAUUUGAUUACAAUGUGCAUAUACAAGUUCACAAGCCCUUUUCUUCUCAGAAUGACGGGCAUGCACCUUGGAAAACAAAAGCUUUAUACCCUUCUCCACUUCUAACAAGAAUUGAAUUAUAGAACAUAGAAAAAGGCAUUGCCAACAUUUCCAAGUAAUUGCCACUGAACCCCUCCACAGAAAGCAAGGUGAAUUUGACAUCAGAUUAAAAGAGAUCCUUGCAAUCAUCUUUAUUCCUACUUGAUCAAGACAGUGAAUGAGAUAUUGAGUUUGGACUUAAAUACCUUUAUAGAGUAGUUGCAGUGUAUAGAUUUCAAAUUAUCCCAUUGUUGUAGAUUCAUCAGAUCAAGAUAUGAUAGUCUCUAAUUACAGUCAAAGGAAACAGGAUCAGCCUCCAAGAGUUGUAUCUUAACAAUAUCAGCAAGCACAAGACUGCCAUCCUUCAUGCUCCGGUGUGACACCUGCUGCCAACUGAACAUUAGGAUGAACAACAAAUGAAAAGGGCAAACAAACAAAAUACAAGCAACCAAGCAAUUCUUGUACCAAGCACUGACUGUGAAAUAGCUGAUCUAAUGGUUCCACCAAGUUCCAAACUACAGAAAAACGAACCAAGGAAGAAACCAAAAGGAAUAAAUUAAAUAAAACAUUCAAAGUUAUAACAAAAGUUGAACUCGGUCCUAUAAAGUGUAACAUGCAAAAGUUUCUGACAUAGAUUAAUCUUGUUUUUUCUUUUUCUAAAGGAUGUGAACAGUAAACUCUGAGAUAAGAUAUUACAGAAAAGCGAAAUCUUUCAGAUUCAGCGCAUUCAAACCAACUGCUUCAAAGCCCAAAUAUUUGCAAUUAGUUUCUUUCAACCAACAAACCGUUCGAAAAAAUUAAACAGACUGAUAGUGAUGUUUUAGCCAACAAACAGUUCGAAACAAUUACAAGGAAAAAGGGGGGAAAAAAGAGUGGAAUUCAUGUAUAUCGGGGAAUUUGCGUCGCUCGAUGGAACAAGAAGCUCCCAUGCUUUCGCCGAGAUCUUCGCCAAAAACCAUAAACCACGAACAAGUCGAGUAGAAAUUCGAGAAAACCAUCGAGAAAGAAGACGAAGGGAAGGAAUGCUACACGGGACUCACGAAACGAAGCCGCGUGCUUGCGAGCCCCGGAGUCGCCGUCGGAGAUUGGCAUUUCAAUCCUCCCAAAAGCUCCAUAAAAAAGGAGAAUUGAUACGAAUAUCUCAAACCCUAAGCCCUAUAGAGGGUUUCGAAGGAAGCUCGUGAGAGAUCGAGGGGGGUAGCAACCACUAAUCUAAUCUAGGGUUUCGUUUUCGUGGUGGUAAAGGACGAAAACGGAACCAUCUAGAUCUACAACUUGUUGAUAGGUUUGGAUUGGAAGAUGCAAUGUAGGAUGCAUGGAUCGGACUCGAGAGAAAUCUGCAGACCUAUCUGUACUAAAACCUCUCUCGAUCGAACCCAACUUGAUCUAACCCAACCCAAGUUGCUAGUGUGUGCACUGCUUGCAGCCACCACCAGUACUGGAAU